CGGGACGGGUGAGUAAUGUCUGGGAAACGUGCUGAUGAGGGGGGAUAACUGCUGGAAACGGUAGCUAAUACCGCAUAACGUCGCAAGACCAAAGAGGGGGACCUUCGGGCCUCUUGCCAUCGGAUGUGCCCAGAUGGGAUUAGCUAGUAGGUGGGGUAACGGCUCACCUAGGCGACGAUCCCUAGCUGGUCUGAGAGGAUGACCAGCCACACUGGAACUGAAACACGGUCCAG
rnacentral:rRNA from 1 species